UCUUGACAUCCAGAGAACUUAGCAGAGAUGGUUUGGUGCCUUCGGGAACUCUGAGACAGGUGCUGCAUGGCUGUCGUCAGCUCGUGUUGUGAAAUGUUGGGUUAAGUCCCGCAACGAGCGCAACCCUUAUCCUUUGUUGCCAGCGGUUAGGCCGGGAACUCAAAGGAGACUGCCAGUGAUAAACUGGAGGAAGGUGGGGAUGACGUCAAGUCAUCAUGGCCCUUACGAGUAGGGCUACACACGUGCUACAAUGGCGCAUACAAAGAGAAGCGACCUCGCGAGAGCAAGCGGACCUCAUAAAGUGCGUCGUAGUCCGGAUUGGAGUCUGCAACUCGACUCCAUGAAGUCGGAAUCGCUAGUAAUCGUGGAUCAGAAUGCCACGGUGAAUACGUUCCCGGGCCUUGUACACACCGCCCGUCACACCAUGGGAGUGGGUUGCAAAAGAAGUAGGUAGC
rnacentral:rRNA from 1 species